rnacentral:rRNA from 1 species
CAGGCUUAACACAUGCAAGUCGAGGGGCAGCAUGGUCUUAGCUUGCUAAGGCCGAUGGCGACCGGCGCACGGGUGAGUAACACGUAUCCAACCUGCCGUCUACUCUUGGACAGCCUUCUGAAAGGAAGAUUAAUACAAGAUGGCAUCAUGAGUCCGCAUGUUCACAUGAUUAAAGGUAUUCCGGUAGACGAUGGGGAUGCGUUCCAUUAGAUAGUAGGCGGGGUAACGGCCCACCUAGUCUUCGAUGGAUAGGGGUUCUGAGAGGAAGGUCCCCCACAUUGGAACUGAGACACGGUCCAAACUCCUACGGGAGGCAGCAGUGAGGAAUAUUGGUCAAUGGGCGAGAGCCUGAACCAGCCAAGUAGCGUGAAGGAUGACUGCCCUAUGGGUUGUAAACUUCUUUUAUAAAGGAAUAAAGUCGGGUAUGCAUACCCGUUUGCAUGUACUUUAUGAAUAAGGAUCGGCUAACUCCGUGCCAGCAGCCGCGGUAAUACGGAGGAUCCGAGCGUUAUCCGGAUUUAUUGGGUUUAAAGGGAGCGUAGAUGGAUGUUUAAGUCAGUUGUGAAAGUUUGCGGCUCAACCGUAAAAUUGCAGUUGAUACUGGAUAUCUUGAGUGCAGUUGAGGCAGGCGGAAUUCGUGGUGUAGCGGUGAAAUGCUUAGAUAUCACGAAGAACUCCGAUUGCGAAGGCAGCCUGCUAAGCUGCAACUGACAUUGAGGCUCGAAAGUGUGGGUAUCAAACAGGAUUAGAUACCCUGGUAGUCCACACGGUAAACGAUGGAUACUCGCUGUUUGCGAUAUACAGCAAGCGGCCAAGCGAAAGCGUUAAGUAUUCCACCUGGGGAGUACGCCGGCAACGGUGAAACUCAAAGGAAUUGACGGGGGCCCGCACAAGCGGAGGAACAUGUGGUUUAAUUCGAUGAUACGCGAGGAACCUUACCCGGGCUUAAAUUGCAGAUGAAUUACGGUGAAAGCCGUAAGCCGCAAGGCAUCUGUGAAGGUGCUGCAUGGUUGUCGUCAGCUCGUGCCGUGAGGUGUCGGCUUAAGUGCCGUAACGAGCGCAACCCUUGUUGUCAGUUACUAACAGGUCAUGCUGAGGACUCUGACAAGACUGCCAUCGUAAGAUGUGAGGAAGGUGGGGAUGACGUCAAAUCAGCACGGCCCUUACGUCCGGGGCUACACACGUGUUACAAUGGGGGGUACAGAGGGCCGCUACCACGCGAGUGGAUGCCAAUCCCAAAAACCUCUCUCAGUUCGGACUGGAGUCUGCAACCCGACUCCACGAAGCUGGAUUCGCUAGUAAUCGCGCAUCAGCCACGGCGCGGUGAAUACGUUCCCGGGCCUUGUACACACCGCCCGUCAAGCCAUGGGAGCCGGGGGUACCUGAAGUGCGUAACCGCGAGGAGCGCCCUAGGGUAAAACUGGUGACUGGGGCUAAGUCGUAA